rnacentral:rRNA from 1 species
AGUGAACGCUGGCGGCAGGCCUAAUACAUGCAAGUCGAACGGCAGCACAGUGGAGCUUGCUCCAUGGGUGGCGAGUGGCGGACGGGUGAGGAAUACAUGGGAAUCUGCCCAGUCGUGGGGGAUAACGUAGGGAAACUUACGCUAAUACCGCAUGCGCCCUUCGGGGGAAAGCCGGGGACCUUCGGGCCUGGCGCGAUUGGAUGAGCCCAUGUUCGAUUAGCUAGUUGGCGGGGUAAAGGCCCACCAAGGCGACGAUCGAUAGCUGGUCUGAGAGGAUGAUCAGCCACACUGGGACUGAGACACGGCCCAGACUCCUACGGGAGGUAGCAGUAGGGAAUAUUGGACAAUGGGCGCAAGCCUGAUCCAGCCAUGCCGCGUGAGUGAAGAAGGCCCUCGGGUUGUAAAGCUCUUUUGGCCGGGAAGAAAAGCAUCGGGCUAAUACCUCGGUGUUCUGACGGUACCGGAAGAAUAAGCACCGGCUAACUUCGUG